AAAAAAAAAAAAAAAAAAAAAAAAAAAAAAAAAAAAAAAAAAAAAAAAAAAAAAAAAAAAAAAAAAAAAAAAAAAAAAAAAAAAAAAAAAAAAAAAAAAAAAAAAAAAAAAAAAAAAAAAAAAAAAAAAAAAAAAAAAAAAAAAAAAAAAAAAAAAAAAAAAAAAAAAAAAAAAAAAAAAAAAAAAAAAAAAAAAAAAAAAAAAAAAAAAAAAAAAAAAAAAAAAAAAAAAAAAAAAAAAAAAAAAAAAAAAAAAAAAAAAAAAAAAAAAAAAAAAAAAACAUGGAAUAAUGAGUAAGGAAAGGAUGUAACAAUAGCUUUGAUCCUACUGUACAUUUAUAAUCAUGUGAAAAGUGUUUCAUGUGUAAGAAUAAAUUGUAUCAGGGGACAGAUAUGAGGUUGUUGGAAACGUGGGCAGAUUAUUUAAAAUCAUACCCAAUAUUGGGUCUUAUAUGACAAGAGCAAUUGUAACUCACAGGCAACAAAUUGAACAAACACGGGAACAGCUGCAGCAGGCAGAGCUCACCUUUAGAUACCAGGUAACCUGAGUUCUGCCUGACAUACUGAACCCUUAGCACCUCAUGCGGGUGAGUGUAGCAGCCCUUGGAAUCCCUAACCACGGGCUUUUCAUUGUUGGCUUUUUCAAAUCGUAGCUCAUGAUAAGAAUGCUCAGGACAACCAGGUAAGUGUUUUCUUGUUUCCUCCUCUUUCUUUGGUGCACAGUCUGGCACGACUGAAGGUGGAUGUGUUGUUUCUCCCCCAGAUCAAGACUCAGAUCUGGGAUAGGGAGAUGGCGGAGUAGGGCAGGGAGGUCACUUACUUGAAAUACAGGUGUGGUCAUUUGACUUGCGUUUUUAUGGGUGUUUCAGGGAUGAUGCGUGCACUGUUUGUUGUCUAGAAGAUGACGUGGUGUUGCAACUCUUAUAGAAGUCCAUUAUUUUUCUGUAUCCAUUCCAUCCAGGAUGGAAGCAAAGAGGGUGCCUGAGGGAUACACGAGUCAGAAACCAAUGGCUGCAAGACCAGAGACGCAGAAUCCUCCAAGGAGAGCUGUAGGUGGUUUCCAGUGGCAGGGAUGGAGCUUUCAGGUACUGAUGCUGCUCUCUUGGAUCCUGGUGGCAGAGAAGGUGGCAGGUGCGAACACAUUCUUCUCUGGUUUUGAUAUUUGUUCUCUUGUCUGGCAUAUGAAUGUAGCUGUCACUUCUGUUCUGCAGGGCAGUCUGGAUCCUGGGGACCUCCUCUGUUAA
rnacentral:lncRNA from 1 species